rnacentral:rRNA from 1 species
GACAGAGGUCCCGAGCGUUAGGCGGAAUCACUGGGCUUAAAGCGUGUGUAGGUGGAUGCCUAAGUACCUUGUGAAAUCCCACGGCUUAACCGUGGAACUGCUUGGUAUACUGGGUGUCUUGAGCCAGCUAGGGGCUACCGGAACAAAUGGUGGAGCGGUGAAAUGCGUAGAUAUCAUUUGGAACGUCAAUGGUGAAAACAGGUAGCUGGGGCUGUGCUGACACUGAGACACGAAAGCCAGGGGAGCGAACGGG